rnacentral:rRNA from 1 species
CCCUCAGAUGCUCUGGGCUGCACGCGUGCUACACUGAUAUUGCCAAUAUGUCAUUCUUAUCCGAAAUGGAUUGGGUAAUCAAGUAAUGAAAUUUCAUGCUUGGAAUCGGUAAUUGCAAUUUUAUCGUGAACGAGGAAUUCCUAGUAAGCACUAGUCAUCAGCUAAUGUUGAUUAUGUCCCUGCCCUUUGUACACACCGCCCGUCGCUACUACUGAUUGGGUGUUCAAGUGAGAUGCUUAGACCCUUGUUGCAUGGUUCAUUAUUGUGCUCCGAAAGGAAAAAGUUUCAAGCUUGAGUGUCUAGAGGAAGUAAAAGUCGUAACA